AGCCUGGUGUGUGACAUGAAGGAGAUGUUGUUUUCGGGAUACUGCUGCUCAUGCAGUUGGUGAGCUUGUGGCGCAGAUUGAAAUUGGCAGAUUGAAGAGGACCUAUGGUGAAUUCAUGUGCCUAGCACUAUCUCAAUCGCACACAGUGCCCUGCCGGAGGGAUAUUUGUUCCACACUUGAAAGCCUAUCUUCCAGACAGAGGAGAUAGGGUUACAUGAACAUGUGAAAAAGUACAAGAUAAGACCACCUUGUCUAUCCGCAACAUCUCAACGGAGGCCUACAUGCUUCAACAACUUUCCUCUUCCUCAACUGUCACGCAUCAUCCUGGGAGAGGCAACAAAUACGGAGGAAGUAAAUACAGCCAACUUAGAAAAAUACUCUUCAAACUCCAAAGGCAAUCAAUUAAGCAACCUCCAGUCAAUACUAGUCACAGAUGGGGGUUAGUUGAAGCAUUGAGCUCCAAAAUGGCACUGCUUGCAUCAAAUCAGCAUUGCACUCUGAUGUCAUGAUCUGCCUGCUCUGCAUGUUUCCAGCUCAUGCUCACUGCUUGUGUACUAACACCUGCAUCAAUAUGGCAUCCAGCUCAAUUCAUCCCACAAGUGUAAGCAUGUGCUGUGGAGGCCAUUUUGGAGGUUUAAGGGCAUUCAGAACCAAACAACUGGCACUACUGUGCCUAAUUUCUCACCCUCGAUCUUCGUAUGUAACAUAACUAAAGAAGGCUUUGCUAUCACUGCUACAUCUAUUUAUAAUCCUGUUUUCCAUUGAUCUUUUGGCUGAGCUGAAAGUUUUCAUUAUCCUUAACUGUGCCAUACAUCUUCCUUUUAAUAUGAGGCACAUCCUUGGCUUCUUUUUCCUGCAGUAUUGGCUUGACAGCCCUUCAUUUAUCAUUUAUACUGUAUUUAUCCCUACCUCCUAUCAUCCCCUACUCAACCGUAUCCAAAUCCUAGCUAAUUCUCACAAAUUUAGAUCUUCUGAAACCUAAUACCAGCAUUAAAUUAUCUGCAGCAGUAAUUUGGCCAAUCAACUUAAAUCUGAUAAAGUUAUGAUCAUUGUUACCAGAUGUUCCCCCACAAUGCAUCUGUGGACCCAAGUUCCAGCAAAAGUCAAUGCCCUCAGGAAAGAGGAAAUCAUUGCCAAAAUCAUCUGAUUUAAUGUUUUAAGGUGAAAGCCUACCAAGAGUAAUAAAAAUAGGGAAUAUUUAGACUAGUGGUCACAUAAGGUCAAAAUCAGACACAGGUUUAAAACCCACUCCUGGCUUUAUUUGGUCAACUUUACUCAAAGAUAUUUUUAAAAUUUCUCAUCUGAAACAUCUGCCAUAUAUCUGCGGACACACUUCUUUAGAGAAUACAGGGUCGAAUGUCUGGAUUGGUUUUGCUGAUUUUCAGCCAUAAUUUCAGUGGAAGAUCUGCAGAAACCUUGAAGACAUAAUUAAAUUAAUACAAUUUCUCUAGGGUUUUGGCAGACCUUUGAACAAAGCAAUGGCGACAAUUAGAAGAAACUCCACAGAGGGUCAACCCCUAUGCCAAACUGUGACCGAGCCACAACUAACAAAGUUCCAGUCGCACUGACUGUUGCGACCACAUGAGGAGGGGUAAAACUUGAGUCCCCUAAUUUACCACCCCAGGUGUGGAUGUAACAGGGUUAGUAGUGAAUUUAGCGAAUAUGUGCUUUGCCAACAUUGCAGGAGUCCCACUAUGCAUGCUUUCAGAUUAUAAAGAAUCGAUCAGACAGGCUUUCUGAGUUUAAAUCAAAGAAUGAGAUAAGUUUAUUGACCCUACUUCCUGAAUUAAAAAGAAACUAGGUAAAUCAUAACCUUCAUUCAUAGCCACUCACACUCUAUGGGCUCCACACACACACACAAUAAUAUAGGUGGUAGAAUAAGAGGAUAGACUUCAAGAAACUUUACAGUUAACUGUCCUUUGGCUGGUCUUGAUGUGGUGAUUCAUGUUGCGGCUGUUUUGUUCAAUUGUAGUUGUAUGGAGCAGAUUUCGACAUUCAAUUCCAAAAUAUAUUAGUUUGUUGUAGAUUUCUCUUCUCAGGAUGUUACUCUGCAAUAACUAUGCGCAAUAUUUCUGAGAGAGACCCAUGGUUCUUGCAGCCGUUCAGUAUAUUCUUCCGAUCUCUGACUUGAUAAAAACAGUUUUUAAAAAGUCUUGUGGGCUGCAAAUUCCAGAGUAAUUCAAUUACCAUUUCUACUAUAGUCAUUGUGUUGUAGAACAGGUAAUUAUAUUUUUUAAUAUCUCAACUCAGAAACUUUUGAGGGGCAAUAGUGUAAAGGUCAAUAGGAGAUGGGGUCUUUCACACUCCCUGGUGGAGUUGGGUUGGGGGGGUGGCGGGAGUGGUCAGUGUUUGAGAGUCCCUUCCUUUUCAUCCCACUUGGGGGUAGAAAACAAGCUGUAUAUUCAGCUGGCUGGCAGUCUUUCCAUUUUCUUAAUGGGAUUACAGUUUAUUAAAAAUCCAACCAGAAAAAAGGCAGCAGAAACUGUAUAUUUUUCUUUCAAAUAAAAUCCUCAUAACAAUGACCUUGAA